rnacentral:rRNA from 1 species
CAUCGCCUCUUGAAUAAAAUAAGAGGUCCAGCCUGCCCAGUGAAAUUAUUCAACGGCCGCGGUAUCCUAACCGUGCGAAGGUAGCGUAAUCACUUGUUCUUUAAAUGAGGACUAGUAUGAAUGGCAUCACGAGGGUUCUACUGUCUCCUUUUUUUAAUCAGUGAAACUAAUCUCCCCGUGAAGAAGCGGGGAUCUUUAUAUAAGACGAGAAGACCCUAUGGAGCUUCAAACAACCAACAUUUGCUACACCACAACAUUUUUCCCUAAAAGAAGUAUAGCAUUAUGAUUAUUAGUUUUCGAUUGGGGUGAUCACGGAGUAAAAUAUAACCUCCAUGCCGAAAGGGUUCAUACCCUGAGCAAAAAGCCACAGCUUUAAGCACUAAAAAAUUAACGCAGUUUGACCCAAUAUUUUGAUCAACGAACCAAGUU